rnacentral:misc_RNA from 1 species
GUAAGAGAUUAGCAACAAGCUAUAAGAAAAUUUUAAUUCGUAACAAUAAAUGCAUAAUUCUUUUUUAUACUCUACUUGGGUAUUUUGUUUCUUCCAAGUGUUAAUACAGUGCUUCUUACAAAGGCCUUCAUCAUGUAUGCAUCUCCUUCAUCUUUUGUCUGCUCAAUGCUUUUGUUUUUUUGAGGCCUCUAAAGCCACCACUGCUUUAAUGCCUUUAGGGUUGAGCCGCGGCGGGAGACAAGAGCUGAGCAUUACCAUUCCAUGACGAAGAUGUUACUUGUAAUUCUACAGCAAAUUACGUAUUCAAACAUGGUACAAAAUGAAUUUGAUUCGAGCAAGGGCAGUAGAAAAGGACGCGAUAUUUGUUUUCAUUUGAAUGUUGAACGUCUAGGCUCAAAAUCGACCUGCCCGAAUAUCUCUGUCAAUAUGUUCUGCAUUGAGGGUUCCUGGAAGCUCUCGAAAAUCUUCAUUGAAUACAGAAUAUGCACUAAGUUCUCCCUGCUUCCGGUGUCCAAGAUUAUAAAAGAUGAGGCCAAACCCAGUCGCCAGUAAAAAUAAAGGUGCAACCUCAUAUCUUCGCGCAAUAGAGGCCAGAAUGAACCAAGUCAUGAUAAUAACCCAAACCUUUGGACUGAUGGAGAAAAUUACCAUCAAGAGCAUAUCUGGAAA